GGAUGCAACGCGCCCGCCCGCAGGGCUGCGGAUAGACCGGCCGGGGCAAGUCCCUAAGCUCUUCGGAUGUCCCCAACUCGGAGAGGGUUUAUGUUUGUUUUAACUGCCGGACUCCUCUUUCCAUCGGAAUGCCUACUCUGGGUUCUAAAAGAGGAUCUCAGCUGAUUUUCCACUUGCUGCUACUUUAUUUUGGUGUCUAAAGGCUGAUCAGAACUUCAGGGAGCGCCCGACUCCGCUCUGCUCCGCUCUAAGGCCAGCGGUGCCCAGAAGUUCAAAGGACUCUGGGCGGGGCUUGGAGGGCGGAGCCAGGACUACCCUGGCUAGAAGUGUUGGAAAAGUAACGUAACAGUUGAAGCGAGGACUCCUCUGGCCCUCUGUGGACCUCCACGAACGAUGACUUUCAUGGCAAGCUGAAGACAGGUCUAUGUGACUCCAUGACACAUGGUGUCUAUGUGACUCCAGCUCACCUCCUUGCCUCCUAAGUCGAUGAACCAGCAGAUUGAACCCAAAGCUCCAUGGUUGUUUAGGCCGGAGCUGCGACUUUAUGGCGGAGACUUUGCAUUCACAGAGUUCUGCAUUCCGUUUCCAGCGCUGAGAACAUCCUGCUUUGUGCUGUGAAGAAACAUCACAAUUAAGGCAAAGUGCGUGAAA
ensembl:lincRNA 4833418N02Rik RIKEN cDNA 4833418N02 gene